UACGGAGGGGGCUAGCGUUGUUCGGAAUUACUGGGCGUAAAGCGUACGUAGGCGGCUUUGUAAGUUAGAGGUGAAAGCCCGGGGCUCAACCCCGGAAUUGCCUUUAAGACUGCAUCGCUAGAAUCAUGGAGAGGUGAGUGGAAUUCCGAGUGUAGAGGUGAAAUUCGUAGAUAUUCGGAAGAACACCAGUGGCGAAGGCGGCUCACUGGUCCGGUACUGACGCUGAGGUGCGAAAGCGUGGGGAGCAAACAGG
rnacentral:rRNA from 1 species